AACCGUUACAGUAGCUGCGAGUGGUACUUACAUCAAAUAGAAUAUUCUGAUUUUGGGACAUUAACCGGGUCACUACUAGAACGAAGAGAAUAAGAAACGAUUGGAAAAUCCUGUUAGGAGUCUACAAACGGGUUGUUUUAUAUAUCCCAAAAUAUAUCCAAAAACCAUGUUAAGAGGCGGUGAAAAUACUGAAAACCCUACGAUUAAAAGAAUGAGGUAUACUCAUGUAAAAGGUAUGCGAAGAAAACUGUUUUGAUAAAUAAGAAUAUUGGUGCAAAAUAGGGUUUAGGUGGUGGAGAGCAUUCGAAGAUG